CUCAGUUCAGACUGCAGGCUGCAACUCGCCUGCACGAAGUCGGAAUUGCUAGUAAUCGUAGGUCAGCAUACUACGGUGAAUACGUUCCCGGGCCUUGUACACACCGCCCGUCAAACCAUGAGAGUUGGCAACACCCGAAGUCGGUAGUCUAACCGCAAGGAGGACGCCGCCGAAGGUGGGGUUGAUGAUUAGGGUUAAGUCGUAACAAGGUAGC
rnacentral:rRNA from 1 species